UAUGGCCGUACCACCCUGAGCGUGCCCAGCCUCACCUGAUCUUGGAAGCCAACCAGGGUCAGGCCGGAUUAGUCCUUGGAUGCGAGAAAAACAGAAAGAGCUCAAAU
rnacentral:rRNA from 1 species